rnacentral:rRNA from 1 species
UAUGAACGCUGGCGGCGUGCCUAAUACAUGCAAGUCGAGCGAACGGACGAGAAGCUUGCUUCUCUGAUGUUAGCGGCGGACGGGUGAGUAACACGUGGAUAACCUACCUAUAAGACUGGGAUAAAUUCGGGAAACCGGAGCUAAUACCGGAUAAUAUUUUGAACCGCAUGGUUCAAAAGUGAAAGACGGUCUUGCUGUCACUUAUAGAUGGAUCCGCGCUGCAUUAGCUAGUUGGUAAGGUAACGGCUUACCAAGGCAACGAUGCAUAGCCGACCUGAGAGGGUGAUCGGCCACACUGGAACUGAGGCACGGUCCAGACUCCUACGGGAGGCAGCAGUAGGGAAUCUUCCGCAAUGGGCGAAAGCCUGACGGAGCAACGCCGCGUGAGUGAUGAAGGUCUUCGGAUCGUAAAACUCUGUUAUUAGGGAAGAACAUAUGUGUAAGUAACUGUGCACAUCUUGACGGUACCUAAUCAGAAAGCCACGGCUAACUACGUG